UGAGCUUAUAAAAAGAGCUACCCCUAAGUAGAGUGUCGCAUUACAUUACACUUGUACGACGAAUAAAGAUCCUACCAUUUGGCGUUCUUAUUGACGACGUUUAGUGGAGAAACCGGGUAGUUUCCAGUGUACAUUUYCAGUCAUUACCAUGUUCUGUAAGACUGGUUUGAUAAUGUUUGCAGCGCUUGCAAUUGCAAUUACAAUCACUUAUGCAAAACACAUUGAAAUCCAAAGAAAUGAAGCCAAAUCAUUCCUUCAGAGUGAAGAUCUUUCACGACAAAAGCGAUUGUUUGGUGGUUUUUCUGAUAUAUUAAAGACGCAGAGCGGGAUUGUCUCCUCUAAUAAAUCUUAUGGUAGACAAAGAAUGAAAAAAACAAACAUGUGACUAAACAAAAUCUCCAUAUCACACUUAACGUAUCUUGCAAAUAUUCCAUUAUACAAAAUCUGAAUAAAAAUUGACCAUUGCAA